rnacentral:rRNA from 1 species
AACGUAGGAGACAAACGUUAUCCGGAGUUACUGGGCGUAAAGGGCGCGUAGGCUGUGCUGUAAGUCAGGCGUGAAAGCCCCGGGCUCAACCUGGGAAUUGCGCUUGAUACUGCGGCGCUGGAAGGUGGGAGAGGAUGGCGGAAUUCCCCAGUGUAGAGGUGAAAUUCGUAGAUAUUGGGAAGAACACCGGUGGCGAAGGCGCCAUCUGGCCCAUUUUUGACGCUGAGGCGCGAAAGCGUUGGGGAGCAAACAGG